UGAUAGGCCUGGGCCACCGUCAGUGCUUCUGGUGAGGGCCUGAGAGUGAGCUCAGUGGACGAAGGCUGCACACGGAACAAAGGGCGAUGGUCCAUGAUCUAAGGAAUCAGAGAAACAUACAAUGAGCUGUACACACGUUUCUCAGUGUCGCCAGCAGAUGUCAACCCGUGACCACGCAUUGGAUCUAGGAGCCGCAGAAAAGGGCUAAGGUCCACCAAAGGAGUCCAGGAGGUUCUGGAUCAGGAUUGCUGACUCCUCCACUCCAACAGUGGAGUUGCCACUCCUUUGUUGUUUUGUGAAGAUGCCGUGUGACAGCUGCCUAAUAAAGGUUGGGUACAGC